AUUGAACGCUGGCGGCAUGCCUUACACAUGCAAGUCGAACGGCAGCGGGGGAGAAGCUUGCUUUUCCUGCCGGCGAGUGGCGACCGGGUGAGUAAUGCAUCGGAUCGUGCCCUGUAGUGGGGGAUAACUAGUCGAAAGAUUAGCUAAUACCGCAUACGACCUGAGGGUGAAAGUGGGGGACCGCAAGGCCUCAUGCUAUAGGAGCGGCCGAUGUCUGAGUAGCUAGUUGGUGGGGUAAAGGCCUACCAAGGCGACGAUCAGUAGCUGGUCUGAGAGGACGAUCAGCCACACUGGGACUGAGACACGGCCCAGACUCCUACGGGAGGCAGCAGUGGGGAAUUUUGGACAAUGGGCGAAAGCCUGAUCCAGCAAUGCCGCGUGUGUGAAGAAGGCCUUCGGGUUGUAAAGCACUUUUGUCCGGAAAGAAAUGGCUCUGGUUAAUACCUGGGGUCGAUGACGGUACCGGAAGAAUAAGGACCGGCUAACUACGUGCCAGCCGCCGCCGUAA
rnacentral:rRNA from 1 species